UACGGAGGGUGCAAGCGUUAUCCGGAUUCACUGGGUUUAAAGGGUGCGUAGGUGGACAAGUAAGUCAGUGGUGAAAUCCCCGAGCUUAACUCGGGAACUGCCGUUGAUACUAUUUGUCUUGAAUAUCGUGGAGGUAAGCGGAAUAUGUCAUGUAGCGGUGAAAUGCUUAGAGAUGACAUAGAACACCAAUUGCGAAGGCAGCUUGCUACGCGGUAAUUGACACUGAGGCACGAAAGCGUGGGGGGCAAAC
rnacentral:rRNA from 1 species